rnacentral:lncRNA from 1 species
CUAUGAGAGAAGGUUCUCGAACUGGGUUACGACCAACGCGGAACCAACAAGUUCAGUCAAAUAAGGUAACGAGUCUAAGAGAAGGAUCAAGCUUGAAAGGAAUGGACGGGCGUAGGCUUAAUAGUGAACGCAGACCCACCUGCAACUAGAUAUGAGAUCAAUGACAACAAUAAAAGAAAGAUGUCGAGAGAAAGUCUUAGCCCAACAAAUGCGUUGCGAAGAGAGAUCGAAGACGAAGAUUUUCUGACACAGUGCGGGCACUAGAUGGAAAAGACAGAUAAAGGAACAACCCACCGGAAGGGCAUACCUCAAGGGGUACCAAUCUCCCCCGGCAAAGAUCUAUCUGCAUGAAGCCGAUCUAUGGAUAGAAAGAAAGAUGCAGGAAAGGAAAAUGAAAGAAGAAAUCCAAAUUUGCUUUGGGAGUGUGAGAUAGGCAGACGGGGAGUACGCAGCCGAACAACCGCUGGGGUUUCCAGCAGUGAUAGCUGAACUAAUCAGAUGGGCCGCCCCAAACCUGGAGCUGUUAUUUAAAUCGGAAAUCAACAUCGGGUCCCGGCUAUUCGAAAAACACAGACUGAAGCGGAAGAUCACAAAAUGCAACACAACAAGGGGGUCGUUAGACCGUAGCUUGUGCGAAGAAAGAAGCUAAUCAAUCAGAAUUGAGACAGGGAGGAUAGGCAAAAGAGAGAUUUUCGAGCCUGCAAGCAGCAAGCAACAACGGCUUUUCAGCCGUUGCGUGCUAGCUUGUAGUUUAGGGGUAUAGUAGGGGUGCCCCUUUCUCAAACUUUUCUAUAAUAUAAGGCAAGCUUUUUGGAACCCUAGUUUUGGAGUUUUCCCCAACCAACCUAUACCUUACUAAUAAAAAGGGGCUUCUCUUUUUCAGCUGCAUUGCACUGCUGCAUAAACAAUGGAUCCACUGGGCUGGAUGAGCAACCUUCUAUCUGGCCUCUGUACCAAUAGUAGAGUGGCUUGAUACUUUCAAUCAGAAAAGGAAUAUUGAGCAAGUCAAAGGAGAAAGGAGUUGUCCCCCCUUCUCUGGUAACCCGCCGCCGCAUAUGUCGAAAAAGAAGGAGCGGAGAAGGAAGAACAACCGUUUGACUUUGGCACAUGAGGUGGCGGGUUUGGCUAGGUAACAUAAUGGAAAUGUAUCGGACUGCAAAUCCUGGAAUGACGGUUCGACCCCGUCCUUGGCCUCGAGGAGUGGUGAGCAGCACGGAACUUGUUUCAAUCAAAUGGCAUAGUAUUAGGGUAGGAGGCUUUCCUUUGUUAUAGAAAUCCACAGACAAGAUUCUGGAACUUCCAAACCAAAGAAAUGCAAGAUGAGAAGGAGCUUUUUACGUUACGCUUCAAUAGAAUGAAUUCGGUAAGGGUAGAAUAGGCCCUAUGGUCGAUCGAAGGUGCUGUGCCACUUGAACUCAAAUCUAUCUGACCUUCAAUCCAUCUUUGUCCAGCCAGAUCAUAACAAAAUGUUAGACCAAGGUUGACACAACCGAAUUGGUUGAGGAAAAGGAACCCCCAGCGACCAAGCACUCCCGCCCCCAAAAGUGGAGACCGAAGAACCUUAAGGUUGUCGAGGACACGUCUGAAGAGGAGGCGGGUGCCCUCUAAGUUGACCACCCUACUAACUAAUAGACUAUGAGGGGGGGGGGAAGGCGAACGGGAACCGAUCGAAAACCCGAACCGCUUGACUGACCCCUUCAUAGUCCAUUCAUUAAGGUUGGGGAUGGAUGGAACUAAUCAGAAGUGCAAAUCGCGCAAGCGACGCCGGGAAACGGACCGCAGCGCAACAACUAGGACUCGUGUCAGAGGAGUUUUGAGCGUGAGACAACACUCAUGCAGCGGCAAGGACCCGCAACUCUCGAAGGGGCCACCAACCACCCGAAUCACUGUAGCAAACUCUCUCUUUACUCAAUGGAUAACGCUUAUUCUCUUUCAAUCAACAAAAUGAGAAAUGGAAAAAAGAGGUCUUUAUUGAAGAGGCUUUGUACCUAAAAUAGGACUAAUGCAGAUCCAGAAGAAUGGUCUGGGCUUUCAAAAAGAUGAAGAUGCAAGGGAUAAAGAGACAGUCUUUUGAACAACCAAGCUGACAUAAGGAUUCUAGCUCGCGCCCACUUAGAGCAGAUAGAGAUUCUCAGACAGGGAAAAGCGGCACUCGACAUCUAUUAAACAAGACCAAGAACAAAGCCAUACCAUGCCCUUGGGAGAAAGUAGUGAUGAUUGCCAUAAAUGCUGCCCUCGAGGACGUGUACAAGAAGGUCUUUGCCAAUUCCUAUCAACAUGGUGCAUCUCUUAGUAGAGGGGCGUGAAAAGUGGAGACUUUGACCGUAGGGAUCAAUUGAUAGACAUUUUUCUUGAGGAAGAGAAUCCAGGAUGAACGCUUUUUUCAUUCGCUAUGCGCUGAUUGGAUGCGUACUCACGUGAUCAAUCGAUGGAUGGGGGAAUUGCAUGAAUGAUGAGACCGGCCUAACCUAAAGUCAAGGCUCUUCCCACUCUUGAUGGUGAAUCUUGAUUGACUGACACUAGGAACCGAUUCGGAGAAAGAAGAAGCAUGGCAUGAGAUAGGCGGCGGAGAAAUUUCCAAUAGUGAAUUACUUGACUCGAUGGAUGGAGGGAGAGCCCUCCAACUCAAGCACAAAAUCAAUAUUGAGUCAACAAUCAUCGACAGGGGUACCACCAAGCGAGAUCGAGACCAGCCCCUUGUAUAGGUAUAGGGUUCCAAACCUACGCUUCUUCAAAUAUACCAUAAAUCUAAAUAAAGUAGGGACUUCAAAGCUUGACUAAAGAGGGAGAAAGUUGACUUUGAGAAAGAAAAGGGGCGCCCUAGCUGCAAUCAAAAAAGAGCGCUAACGAGCAAGAAAGGGCCCCUUACUAUAGAUAGGGCCUUAGCGCUUUACUAAUAACAAACAUAUAUAGGGCUGACUUUUUUCAGCUUGAUCGGAAUUGAUUCUAUGAUUGAAUAGCAGAAGUACUACUUAGUAGUAGAAACUUGGAGAGAAGUAGGUCCCUUGUUUUUGGCAGGAAGAGUUCCAGCCUUUGUUGCCCCUCGGUAGAGUGAGUCUACUUAGCGAACUGGUAGGGCGUGGAGAUCUAUUGAUCAAUAUGAAUCUCGAGAGUGAAUGGUUGAUCGCCGCCUCCUUGUCCUGGAGGCUCUCCGGCCGGGGAGGGGCUUGCUAUCGUAACCCUUUCUCCCAGUGUAUGUGAAAAAGAGUGAUGAACUCAUUUUUCUUCAGUCAUAGGUUAAAGAACGAGAGUCGGCUUCCAACAUUAAGUUUGUUGUUCCUCAGUAGCUCAGUGGUAGAGCGGUCAACUGUUAACCGAUUGGUCGUAGGUUCAAAUCCUACUUGGGGAGAUUUUUGAGUUAUCGCUUUUCUGACCUAGCGCUUGCCUCCGGUGGUGUCCUUCUCCUUUGUUUCUAAACUAGAAGAAUCGUGGGACAUCAAAGGCGGUAAGUUGAUUGUUGGUUUUUAUUCCUCACUCUCGUAUAGGAACACUUGGUUCGUUCCAUUCUUAGGGAAGGAUCCACUGGAAAGACUGGAGUAGUAUCUUCAUUAGCCGGAAGGAAUUAGUCUCCACUAGCGUCAUUCGAAGAACGAACAAGAAAAGGGUUACUGUUCAGGAUAGAUGGAUGUGGCCCAAUGGCUAAAGCUCUGCCAGCUUCUUGUAGACUGAACUCUCUUCUCUUUAGGCUCCGAGUUCUUUUUAGGGGGGAUGGUCUAAUUUACUUGUGGCAACAAAGUUCUUAAAUGACUAGAUUCUCCCAGAACGCUAGCUAAGCUAAUCAUCUUAGUUCCCUUCAAUUAAAUCAAUAAGCUUUUUGAUUGAUUCAGGCCGCCACCCCCUUCUUAGAAUUAGAACCCAUUGAGGGGGUCCUCGGCCCGGGAAGGGGAGAGUGGCCGAAUGGUUAAAAGUGGCAGACUGUAAAUCUGUUGAAGUUUUUCUACAUAGGUUCGAAUCCUGCCUCUCCCACUUGUUUAUUGUAGACUUCAGAGAAGAGAAAAGAGGCAUUCGUCAGCGUAGGAAGGCCAACCUAGCGAAGCUCUUUCUUUUUUUUGGCCGUGCCGUGAAGUGAAAUUGUAUCGUAUGUUAGUUAGAGAGGUUGGCAAAAUACUACGCUCUAUAGAUUUCCCAUCUAUAUCUAAUCCCAACAAGAAUAGAAGCGAGUCACUUCUGGCCUAUCUUGUAGUCAUAGUCUUUUAGCUUAUGUAGUCGUCGGCCUUCCUACACGCAUGCGUCCGCCAGAAUGCCUCCUUGGUUUGGGACGAAGCCAAGCCGAUACAUAAGAUAGGCGAAGGAAAGACCCACAUUUCAUAGUGCCUGAGGAACGCAAGUUUGAUCGAGGAUUGGAGAGGAGAGAUGGAAGAAAGGGCUCGGGAUGGAUUUAGGAGUCUUUGUGCGAGCCGUAUGUGGUGAGAGUCACACGUAUGGUAACGAGGGGGGUUCGCGUCUAUACGUGUAGUGUGGUGCUUUGGCCUACCCACCCUAUUUGUUCCAUGAUCUAUGGGUCUACUGGAGCUACCCACUUUGAUCAAUUAGCCAAGAUUUUGACCGGAUAUGAAAUCACUGGUGCUCAAUCUAGUGGUAUUUUUAUGGGGAUUUUAUUUAUCGCUGUAGGAUCCCUAUUCAAGAUCACUGCAGUUCCUUUUCGGGCGGCUGUAGGAUGGACGCCUAUAGGUGGUAGGGUAGGGUGGGUGGUACCGCUCUGCGGCCAAUCUCCUAACCGCUUAGGGCCGGGCUUAGAGCGCGUGAAACUCAUCACUACCUCAUAAGGGCAUUGAGACCAUAAUAUGUUACACGAAAGCGCCGCUUUCUCUGUAGUGUUGUCACACAGCUGCCCGCCUAGAAGAGUAACUCGCUUUGUAGUGUUGUCACACAAGAUAAGCACGCCGUCCUCCUGCUUGCCGGGCGAAUCGAAGUUAUCUUUUGGUCAACUGUCCACCGAGUCAAGUGCAAAAAACACAGUAGAAUCAUGCAACGCACGCUGCUGGUGUGCUUCUUGCUUGUGAGGAAAGAAAGAAGAGCGAUAGGGUUCAGUUCAGAUUUGACUGUUUGCAGCAUGGGAGCAGAUUCCCCAAAAAAUCCCUGGGAACAAUGAAAAAGAAAAGAUAUCUCGGUAACGAAAACUAUAGGGGGCUGUAUUGGCGAGAUCCAACGGUGAACAGCUGCCCAAAAGAAAAACCACCUGGAAGUCCGAGGACCUUUAGUACCGUACUCUACCCCCGAACCAGCAGCCUUCACGCCAAGCAAGACCGCCCUUGUCCCUUUUCUUUCUCCAUUCCGCCUCUUUCUUUGCUUUGUUCCAAUAGAGUCUAAGGCAAGGUGGUUCGUAUGCCUACUUUACCUACUUGAUGAAAGGGAACGAACAAUGUUUCAUUUUCGGGUUUAUGGAUUGGAUUCAGUCAGCCUCACAACAUAAUCAGAGUGAGGCUUUGGUUAUCGGCAAACGCUUCUCCAAAGGCGACCCUCUCAAGUUUUUGACUGUUUUCAUCAUUGAAGUAUUCGUCGCCCUACCAAACGAAAGAAGUCACUAUCAAACUGCUCGCCCUAUUGAAGUACCAAAGGUGCGCUCAGCCCGGUGACUAGGAAAUGGGUUUGCCCUUGAAUUGAAGUGAUGAGGUCGGAAAGAGGGAAGUAGGGCUCCUAUUGACUAAAGGUUGGUUCUUCGCUUUCCUUUAGAAUGAAAGUAGCUAUGAAGCCCCUCUCCUUACAGUGGCUGAACGCCCCUAAUACUUACUUUGUUUAAUUCAAAAGGCGAACAACCCCCCAACUAGUUGUAUGGGGUGGGGUGCUUGUGAAAAGCUGCUUUGGAUAUGAGUAAUUCCUAAAAAAAGGCUUUGUCCGGUAUUUGACAAAGAUCUUUCUAUCAAUAGAUAGGAAUGAGUGUUCGAUAUAGGGGAUAGGAUCCAUCUGCUCUUUAAUCUCAUAAUUUUUUUGUGAGAAAUAUAUAUAUAUAUCGUUUAUCUAUCUCUUGUCUAUCUAUCAUUAAUUCUCAAGUCCAAUUUUUGGGUUCCCCGAAGCCCCGAAUAGAAUGGAUCGUUUCUGCCAACGAAAUGAACGCGAGCCCGUUCCGAAUGCUUCUACGAUCCGGAAGUUCUCACGAAGAGAAUAAGAUGCUGCUCCCCUUCCCUCUUUCUUUUCCCGCUUAGCUAAUCUUCCCCUCUAAUGCGGGCCGGGCGGUGACGGGCGCGGGAGGAAGAAACCUAAGAGAAGACGCUCGUCUCGGGCGGUCCUUUUUUUCAGUGUAACACAGAAAAGCGCCCUCUUUUUGUCAUCCCUGCAGCUUUCCAGAUUUUGUAUUGAAUGCAUGGCGUAGCUAGGACCCUUCACAUUCUGUUUGAGCCUAUGUUAAAGCCAAACCCACCCCCUAUUUUACUAAGGCUGGAAAGAAUGCCCACCAAGUUUAGAUAAGGGAAUGCUUUCCCCAACCAUUAAAGUAAAGGUUCGACGAAGGGAGGGAGGUGCGGCGGGGGAAGGAAAACGCUUUCGUAGAUCAAGUUUUUUUUUUUCAUCGAAAAUGAAGAAGGCUGAAGAUGGCCGUAGGUGCAUCUUAUCUGAAGGGAACACGCUUUUUUGACAGCCGUGGUAUGAUUGUCGGGCCCUCCUUCUUACAGUGGCUUUCAGCUCCUCUCCUCGUUCUGCCCUUCCUAUUGGGAUAGCAGCCUUCGGGUUUUGCCUGCCCUUUCUAAUAAGAAAUUCUGGCUCAGCCUGGGAAAGCGAUGGCAAUAACUGAAAGGAAGGGGUCCAUGUAGCUGCUGUGUCCUCCCCCUUCUUAGUCAAUGGGGCACAGCAGGUUCGGCAUCUACUACAAAAGAGAGAAUCCACUUCAGAUAACCACGUCUCUGCUAGGCAGCGUGUGGAAUGGCCGAGAGCGGACCUUUUUGGAUAUAUAAUCCAAGUCGAGAGUAGAGUUACAGGAAAAGCCGUCUGAUGGAAAACGACUUUCAUGUUCGGUUCAGAGAGCACUUUUUUCGUUGAGAAUUCCUCAUUCCCUUUCGUGUGAAUUCCCCAGCGGUGAAUUUCAAACUUGUGGGGCCCUAUCUAUUCCAUCUCUCGAGCCCCGAAGAAAACCCCUACCCUUCGGACUCCAUUAUAUCUUUUGACUCUAUAUAUGUGGGCACCUGAUAUCUAUGAGGGUUCACCCACCCCGGUUACAGCAUUCCUUUCUAUUGCGCCUAAAAUCUCUAUUUCUGCUAAUAUUUCACGUGUUUCUAUUUAUGGUUCUUAUGGAGCUACAUUGCAACAAAUCUUCUUUUUCUGCAGCAUUGCUUCUAUGAUCUUAGGAGCACUGGCCGCCAUGGCCCAAACGAAAGUAAAAAGACUUCUAGCUCAUAGUUCAAUUGGACAUGUAGGUUAUAUUCGUACUGGUUUCUCAUGUGGAACCAUAGAAGGAAUUCAAUCACUACUAAUUGGUAUCUUUAUUUAUGCAUCAAUGACGAUAGAUGCAUUCGCCAUAGUUUUAGCAUUACGGCAAACCCGUGUCAAAUAUAUAGCUGAUUUGGGCGCUCUAGCCAAAACGAAUCCUAUUUUGGCUAUUACCUUCUCCAUUACUAUGUUCUCAUACGCAGGAAUACCCCCGUUAGCCGGCUUUUGUAGCAAAUUCUAUUUGUUCUUCGCCACUUUGGGUUGUGGGGCUUAUUUCCUAGCCCCAGUGGGAGUAGUGACUAGCAUUAUAGGUCGUUGGGCGGCCGGAAGGUUGCCACGAGUAAGUAAGAAAGAGGGCCCGAAGGCAGUUCUCCGUGCAUCGGACACGUAGCUUACCGAAUUCGUUGCGACACGGAUGGGAAUGCAUGCUACGAAAGAUAGGGUCGAGUCUGAUACAUCAACCGUCUACUCAAUAUCCUUGUACGAGUCCACAAUGACUACAUGAGAUGAACCUUGGUUUGGUGAAUUGAAGUUGGCCUUAGGUGUAAUAGGACUCCUAGUUACUGUGCGCGAUCGUAUACUGAGGUGCUCCCUGUCGGUUGUUAGAAUGACACGAGCCAGGCCGGGUCUCGAUUUAGAAAGAUGAAGGGCCCAAAAGUCUAAAUAGUGGGUGAAAAAUUCCCCAUCUCAUUGGGGGCGGAAAAAAAGAAGUGUGGAGGAGAAGCAGCCGAGAUCAUUCCCUUCGCUUCCUGGGCCCAAAGCAGUGUAGUCUUUCCUGGCCAAAUCAAGGAUUUGGGGCUUCUUACUAUGCUACAACACUAUAUAAAUCCAUUUAUAUUAGUAAUAUAUAUGAAUAGAAAGAUAGAUCCAUCCAUCUAUCCUAUCCGAUUUUGAUUUUUCUAUCCAAAAAAGAAUCGAUUUCAUUCAACCUUUGAUUCAAAGAACUGCGCUUAGCCCCCCCGCCCAUGAAAAUGCUAUGCUGCAAUGGAUGGCAGAGGGUCCGUAGUACCCGAAGCACUGGAGUGAUCCAGUAGCCGGGAAGGGGCCUAGAAGUGCCUACUACUACACCACACUAUACUUGGCUCUACACAUUUAUAGAGCUAACCCCUGUCCAGUGCCUGGCAGAGCUAAGGGGGCUUCAAUCCUUACUCUUUAUCCCCAUCUUCGCUCAGGCUUACCGGGGCCUUACUUAUUCAGGGGGGAGAGUGGAGCCUCGAAAAAAAGCACUGUUGAGAGGAAGAUCCUUGGCCUCUCUUCAUUCUCUACAGGGUUCUAAACCUUUCUUCAACAUAGGUGACAACGAGCCAGGCAGAGAUGGAAGAGAUCAAACACGAGAAUAAGAAGCAAGCUCGCCUUCCUUUUUGAUUAUUUUGAUAGAGGGGGAUGAAGAAAGUGGACAAAAUGGACUCGCAUUUCUCAUCGAACAAAUACAGGAAAAGAAUCAUAUUGAAAACGCUCCUAACCCAACCCCUUCCUUCGUAGAGCCCGUGUAUUAUAAGUGAUCCGAACCUGCUCGAAGCGAGCCUCCCAUAGAGGCAAGUGAAGUUGGUGAGCCGUAUGAUGGGCAACUAUCUCCUGCGGUUAGGAGAGGACUCAGCUAUUAGUUAGUACCCCCUUGGUUUUGGGGUGGCCCUUUUCACUCUAUUUUAUUACAUACGCUUAGCAAAAAGAAUGUUUUUUGAUACACCUAGGACAUGGAUUCUAUAUGAACCAAUGGAUCGUGACAAGUCGUUACUACUAGCAAUGACUUCCUCUUUUAUUACUUCAUUCUUUCCAUAUCCCUCUCCUUUGUUCUCAGUUACUCAUCAAAUGGCACUCAGUUCAUAUCUUUAAGUUCGAUCAUUGACAAGGUUCAAAGAAAGGGUGGGCCAUUGAUAAAGAAUCGAUGGAAAACCACAAUGCUAGCAGAUGGCGGGCCUCCGCUUUUCUUUUCAUUAAUGAAACCCGCCAGUUAUUAUUAUUAUGAACUCAAAUAAAAGGACAAAAAAUUUGGAUUUAGAAGGCUUGUUCAAAAGAAAAAAAGACGUGGGUGGCAUUAUGACUGGGGUGUCAGUUAGAAAGGUUCAACCAAUGUUCGUUCAAUCAAGCAGCAUUCUUUUUUCUUAACUUAAGGAGAGGGAUGAGGGAAUUGUUUCUAUGCUUUUCUCAGAUAAUGCGUGUGUGAGAGUGAAGCUAUCGCGCCUAAGGCGAAAGGCUCUGUUCGGCUCGAUAGGUGGCAGGCUCAGAAUAAGACGAUAAAGACAAGGGGGAAGUUUAGUUAUUAAGUUCCUUUGUUAAGGUAAGGAUAAGAUAAAGAGAGGAAAUAGUUAUAUAUAACUAUUAUUUAGUUAGACUAGUGACCAAUAGCUAAAGAAAGUGAAAGAAGUAGAAUCAAGCCAUUCAUCUGAAAAAAGCUUUUUGCUUUCUGUAAAACUUCUCGAACUAGAAAGAGAAGCCCUUUUCAGCAGGCUUCCAGCUUCAGGGGCUUGAUCAGGAUUCGAGGAUGCUCCUUCGAGGAUGCUCCUUGUCUCUUUUGCUUCUUUUGAAGAUCAUGUCGAAUCGCUCUCUCAUACUCCUCAUAGGUCAGCCCUGGUACCACAGAGGUCGUCGCUGCAGAUAAGGGCGGAUUCCAAUUUGCUUCAUUAUCUUCUUCUUCGUUAGCAACUACUACUCGAGACCUACCCUUGUGCGAGUGACUGAUGGGGGGAAGCGAUGGCUCAGGAAGGGAAGGUGCAGUGCAGACUUGGUUAAUCACGUAAUCAUUGUGGAGUGCUGUAAGUGCACAAACUUAGCCAAGUUAGCGAGUGUGAGAACAAGAAUUCGAGCAUUCACUUUAUUGAAAAAUAGUCUGACUCUCUAAAAAAAGAAAAAAGCUUCAGAGUCUUCUCAGGAAGCUUGCCCGCGGCCAAGAUAGGGAAUUACUUCCGAAGAAAGGCAAGAAAAUGCGCUCGAGCAGAAGGACUCACACUCGGUGAUUCAGGAAGACUGAAGAGCAGUCCCAGUUGGCAGCGAUCCUAGUCCUGCCUGGCGUGAGCCAUAAGAGUAGCAAUCUGUGAGGCACUCCCUAUCUCUGCCCCUUCCAUGGGGCACAGGCCUUAGGAACGUAGGAACUUGAUGGCUAUUGAAACUAUCCUAACUUUUUUAACGGGAACUGAGUUGACUUGUUAGGGGUAGGGCUGAGGAUCCAGCAUCCCAACCUGAAUUAGAGGGGAGCUCUAAUUCAAAGCGUGGGCUACUAAGGAAGGCCCCUUUCCAUAUCGGGGAGAGUCUAAAAUAGUGUUUUGGAAUUCAUCGAUAUCAGAGUACAAAUUUUUCAGGUACUCUAACGGAUAGAGCUUUUUCUGCGGCAUAUUGAGAGCCAUAUAGUCUCCCGCCACGUGUCCCGUGAACUGCUAUCAUAACUGGAUUUCCUACCGUCUGUCUAUCUCUUAUCGGGAAAGCACUUUUUUUUUAUCCUUUAGUGUAUGAUUUGACUCCACUCAAUAUCAUGCCCAUCAACAGACCCACUGCAGCUGUACUGGCGAAUUCAACCUAGAAUAUUCAGUCAGGUGUUUUCAAUAUGAGUACCCCUGGAAAUCGGCCAGCCCUCAUCCUCUUGGGAUGCAACCUUACCCCCUCGUAACUCGUUCUACUGUACUUCAGACCCCCACACGUCAGAAGGGUGGAUUGACCGUACUGAUUGGAUAGUUUUUCUCAUCUAAGAACCAGAAGCAGGCAUUCUCUAAUCCUACCAAAUUCCCACUUUCACUCGAGCAGCAGAUAUGAGACCAGUAAGAGCGGAUUCAAGACUUUCAACCUGAUUCAGCUCAUACUCACAUUCGUCCUAAUCAAUAUAGAGCUGAUAGUAUGAAUAGUAAAGUCUAUAUUAACUAGCCAUAGGCUAUCCUAAGAACGAUCUCUAUAAUAAGGAAAAUAAGGAGUACCCUCACUCACAGAGGAUUCGAUAAUAGUCUAUUGAUUCUAGUGCACUAUCCUUAACACAGGUAAAUUGGUCUUUCUUUUUAUCAUAUGGUAUUAAUGUGGAAGAACUAGGCUAGAAAAGAAUCCCUCAUUCAUUCAUCAAUUUCAUUGCCUCUUCCCUGUCCUAGGUAUGGACGAAGACCGAGACUUCUCUAAGAUCUGAUUCGAUGGUAUAUCCCUCUUCUAUUGUUCUUAGAAAAAUCUCUCACUCUUGAUGAAGAAAAAGACUUCAGCUUUAAUGAUCCGAUCUUGUCUUCACUCACCGAUUCCUUUAAUAAGAGGAAUGCCCGGAAUGCUUGGUACCCUUUUUCUUGCUACUGGUUUAUUCCUAUCCCACUUUUUCUUUCCUCACUCCCCGCUUUAAGAGUUAUUGCUUCAAGUAAAUUUGCCUUGCUAGCUUGCCCUCUAUUAUUACUGUACAGAGCGGGGAAGAAGCACUACUGAAGGUCAUUACUGUGUUGGAUCAACUACUUCAAUUGGAGCAUUCUGGUAAGCUUGAUCCUCGGGUUAGGUUCUUUUUCAUUGGCAUGUGAUAGGGUGGGGUGGUCUACCGGUGAGAGCCAGAUGGGAAAGACAUAGAUGGCACCAAUCUAAUCUCAAGAACUAUGAUUCAACCAUUUCUAUGUCGCUGACUGGGGUCUCUCCCCCUCUGGGGAAUCCAUAGAAAGCAAAACAAUUCUAUAAAGUGACAAUUUUGCUGUCCGUCUCGAUUCAUUCUCUUUUUUAGUCUAAUUAUGGCAUGUGUCACGCUCAUCUAUUCUAUAGUCAAAGCAGGAGCCUAUCCUUAGCAACGUGCCGUGCCCCGAUUGUCAUCUUUGUCUUUGUGUGUGUCUGAGUGGGACCUUUCCUCGUAAAUUGCCUUCUUCGAGGCAUGAUCAGGGGGGCAUAUGGUUUAUUUUUGCUUUUAUUUGUAUUGAUCUGAGCACCGCCCUAGCGAACUAUUGGGUUGAGGGACCCAGCCCAGACAACUUUGGAGUAGAGUCACUUCCAAUAGCUUAAGUAAAGCUCUUAAAAUACGAGAAAUAUCAAUCGGUGGAAAUUUCUGUGGUUGGUUCUUGAACCAAUUCCAUUUCAGGUUCCCCAAGACAACAAUGAAUGGACUCUUUUUGGGGAGGUUGAGGGAAGGAUAAAGCAGCUAAGGCAGGAUAUCAUUGUUGUAAGCCUCCUUUACUGCAUUAGAUUAGCGCCCUAUUGAUCGUGUCUUCGGAGGGUUGGAGAAAUGUUAAAUACUCCUUUAGGAAAGAACUCCUUGCCAUCUUUACGCCUUACAUGCGGCAUAAAUCGCAUAAAUCAAAGUAGAGGUCACAAGAUGACCUAAAGUCCAGAAAAAACCCACUCUCCCCCGGGAGUGCUUUCGAGAACACAUGCACCGGUUAUUGCAUCAACAUCUUCUACAGAUAGUUUACCAAGAAUAGCAAAGGAGAUUCCACCAAGAACUUCUAUUGCUAAAAGAGCUAAUUCAAGUGCAGUACUUAUUGUAACAAGAACAACGUGAACUCAUUCUCAAGAAUUUGCAAAGACAAUGUGGUAUUCUCUUCCACGUAGCCUUUUCCUGACGAAAUUUCUAGUGGGGUUUACUCUAGUAUAGGCGUGAACCAUAUUUACAGAGAAGCAAACUCUUCUGCAGAUUCUAUACCCAGCUCCUCCCUUUCUGGUUUGCAUGUCUUUCAUUCUGAAUUGCCUCCUUUGACUCGUGCAUGCUUGUGUUUAGAUAGGUUAGAUACUUCUUAUAUUAGGAGAAUUAUUAUAAAGGAGUAGUAAGGAAGUGAAACCCCGAUCUAAUCUUACACGUGCGAGGAUAGUCCUCUGAAUAGAGUCCAUUGCAUCCCAUAAUAAUCGACAGGCAGCCCUCGUACAUUUAGUAUAAACCGCUGAAAACUCGAAAGUCUGUCCACUCUGAGUGGGCAGAGCCUUAUUACUUUAUUAAUAGGAGGGAUGCAAGGAAUUGAUGCUACGAAUGCCAUAGCAAGUAAAUCAGAAUAAGCCCUAGACCAGUUACUGAUUGGAAAGGUUUAAAUAAGAGUGUGCCUAGCGUCUUUUGCUCUCUCUUAUUAGAAGAAGGAAGGGGCGCGGCCCCACUCAGCUCGAAGAAGUAGCUCUUUCAAAUAAUCCAUACUUUUUCUCUCCAACCAGUCAAGUGGCCUAAGGGCUACCUCAAUCUUAUUCUGUUUCUGAUCCUGCUUCAGAUUCUUUUUUAGUUGUGGAAACAAGCCCCUAUUCCUAUCAGUUGAGUAGCCCAAGCUCCUUAAAGCGUAUUGUCCCCUCUCCUGUGAAAGAAAGAGGUUGAUGCACCCAGCUACCCGAAGUAGAGCUUUCUUUGUCCCACCUUUCCUUACUGACUUUCCUAGUUUAGAUAGCGUAUUGAGAAUCAUGUCAAAAUACACCAAGACCUGGGCCCAGGUUCUCUUUCUUCAAGAAAGGGUAGCUUUAAACAACCCGGUUCCAAACACACCAAACAAGCAAGCGACUCCCCUUCCUUAGUGUACCCGUCCAUUAAGGCAUUCUUCCUUCUUGCGUAUGUGUUAUAGCUCAUAGCUCUAAGCCCCAAUUCCUUGGUGAAAAGAGCUGUCGCCUUUAAAUCAUCGAAAAAAGAAAAGAAGGAACCGCUCGAAAGGGACCACACAACAAUGGCUCAUAACUGGAAAACAUAACAACAAUGUCUCCUAGCUGCAAAAGAAUGGCUCCCAACUAAAAAUUUCUCUCGAUCACUCUCUAACAGAAAUCCAUUUUCCCUUUCGCAAAAAGUCAACUUGGAUUUCUUUCCUAAGCGGAGAUUUAGACUACAUGGACCUAAGCAACCCACCGACAGGGGCAGCCUUUCACUGUUGGAAACUUUGAUUUAGAUUGGUAGGAUUCUGUCUAAUCUUUCCUAAUUUCGAAAUUGCACUCAAUCAACAUAGUUUCCACUCAUUCCUUCUCGACCGCCUCUUUUCUAGUCACUUUUGAUCAAAUCUUUCUUGUGAUUUUCUAUUCUCUUAUGAGAAAUGGUUUGCUUCGUUUGAGCCGUCGUCGCUUAAUGCAUGUAGGGGGGCUGGGGCUUUUCCCCCACGACCCCUUUUAAAGGAGAACCAGAAGAACAACAAUGAACUCAAAGCUAAUGAAGGAGAUCCGCAACUUGAACAAGGUAGACGGGAUCUUUCCUACCCCUUUCUAUUUCGACUUCUUUGAAAGGUGAAAGAGUAAGAAGCUAGACCGACUUGCUCUUAAAUUAAAAGCAACAAGAGCAAGUAAGUAGGCUUUUCUCUGCAAAAGCAAUCUUGACUUUCUUUAUACUUGAUAAUAUAAGGCCCUUUAAACGAUCGUAAAUGGCCUGAAAUGUAACGACCUAUGAGAGAGGGGUUUUUAGAAAAGAAAGCGUACCAAUUCGGCAAACAAAGCAAAAACAACGGCUCCUACAUAAUUGCUUUCGGACUAGCCUGAGAAUUAGAGCUUUUGGGUGGACAUAGUAGUCCUAGCCCAGGAGUAGCAACCGCCCGACCCUAGGGAUUUAUCCCAUCCAUUUGCCAUAGGGUCCUCGCCCUCUUGACUUGAUAUGUCAAUCAUACUAGGCCUAUACUAUGGGGAGGAUCGCACACUUUUGAUUGUUUAGUUGCUGGGAGGGCUCCUUUAGUCUUCUUUAAGAGCUCGUCCCUAAUACCCAUUAGAUACUUCGCCUUCUAGUUAGCUUUAAGGUUAGUAAGAAGUUAGAAAAGACUAUCAAUGGCAGCAUAGAAAGGUCAGUCAUCAAUCGGACUUCUCACCCGAUCAGUCCUCUCUCUUCCUUCAUACAAUCUUAUCCAUUUCAGUAAUAGUUGGAGUCAAAGUUUCGACUUUAUCCCAUUAAUAACAUCCCAUUAAUAACCCUUUGUAGAACUACUAAAGAACCUGAAAGCAAGAUCUAGCAAGUCAGCACCAGCGCUAGCGUAGGGGCUGACCUAUAAAGGAACCUGUAAUUGAGCCCUCGGCGUAUGAGAGGACCAGGGUGAAGACAGUAGAGAAAGACUUUUUAUUACGUUAUCCAGAAUGCGAUGCCCCAAGGCAAGAAAGUAGCAAUCGGCUUUCAAUCCUAUGAUUUUACUCGAAUAGCUAAUGUCAGAGUAGCAGAUAUGGUUUUUAGCGGAAGCUGCUUUCCCCGGAUGCGGAAUUGAAAGAACCAUGCCUUUUUUCUUAUAAAAGCCUCCUCAUCAACUCUCUGUCUUUCGAACCCACCUCACCGAGCUUAACGCCCUGGAGUCGCUCUUGAAUCGAGUUAGUGAAGAUACCAAAAGCUAGUCUUCUUUUUGAUAGUAAGAGAUAGAAAUGCGGCGAAUCGAGAAAGAGCUUAUUAGCUUAUUUCAAAUUCGAGUCUAAGUUAUUGAAAUCUUUAUCUUCUUAUCCCAAAUUGGCAUAUCUGUCCUUUGCGCCUCUCUAUAUGUAAUUUUCCCUUAAUCUUUAAAUUGCGAAAAUAAUGAAAUGGCUGUUUUAUUGCCAACCCAUCUCUUUCUUUCAAUCGGAUGCCAUGUGUGAAGCAUCUAUCUCUCUCAGGACCUCACCUUCGUGACCUCCUGACGGAGGAAAGACUGAUGUCAUGGUUAGCAAUCAAAUCUGGAAUCUCCGACAAAGCAUCUGAGAUCGGACAAUUGUGUAGAUGAGAGAGUGGGACGGACCUUGCUCUUAAGGGUUGAAAAAAGACCUGGUUGCUUUCUUUCCUGGGAAAGACCAGAUCUACGGUCACACUUCAAUGAGUGAGCCUCAACCUAGACAUCGAACUCCUAUCUCUUGAGCUUAUUUACUGUUGAAAAGGGUACUGUUCGUAGCUUGGCCUUUUUUGAUUUCCUAUUUAGUGCUUUGAAUUCUUCUGCUGUUCCUGCCUAGCGUUGAGGCCAUAGGGCUUCCUUGUAAAUAAGUUCGAAUUAUAAUAAAGUAACGGUUUGGGAGAGCCUAUGCGGAAGCCUUUUUUUUCUUCUUCAGCUUGUUUUCCUGCGUCUUUUACGAUGGCUUGCUUGCUAACAUAACGAGCAGAGGUAGGGCACCUAGUCGGAAAAGCCGUAAUCAGGUUACCCGAGAUAGAAUAGGGCUCAGUGCAAUAGUAAAUCUAGUAAAUAUAAUAAGAGAAGAAUUAGCGUAAGAAAAUCCUAGCCUGUCCCUUACCGAUGAGUGAGUACCCUUUUUUCUCUUUUUAGUUGAGUUGGUGUUCAAUGUGCCCCGUGGGUACAAACAAGAUUGAAAGGGUGAACAAUCCCUUACUUUAGUAAGCAACCUCAGUUCCCUUACUUGUUAAAGUAAGCAAGUCAACUCUCUUACUUGUUCUUGUAAGCUAUUUCUUUCCCGUACUUUAGUAAGUAAGCAUGUAAACGACCAUCUCUCCGUAGAUAAAAGACUAGAGUAGGCCCCAUAGAGAUGUUGACAUCCGGGUUCACUGAUCUCGAAAAACUAACGGAGAUAAGGUCGAUAGCUUGCUUUCUUGUGAAAGUACAAAAGAAGGUCGCUGAGGUAGAGUCCAUAGGCAAACUUCUUAGGAUGUCUUUGCCCCUGGUUCCUUUUGAAGACCCAUAGUAGCCGCAAAGCACCAUUCUGCGCACUCAGAAUAUAAGAGUGAAUUUGCACAAUUAGUUUCAAAGUGUCUAUGAACAUUAAAAAUCUUCUUUCUACGGCUUACAACUUUCAUAGCCCUUAUAUUUAGCUCUCCAAAGAGCAAUUCUUCUCAAAAGGUGCUGACCAUUCUAAAUGUGGCUUCAAAGUUAUUCUUUCUAAGUGCGGAUUCAAUUGAUUAACUGUGCCACCUUCCUUCUACUAGUUGAACUGUGCCACCUUCCUUCUACUAGUUGAUUUAAGCGCAUCAACCGCAAAGAAAGUGAUGACCUAUUCUCUAGCAGCUGCAGGGGCAAGCCUAAACAUCUACACCUUCCAUGGGAAUUUAGGAAGAAUUCCAUUUCCUUAAGGAAUCAGUCCCAAGAGCGGCUACGACUACGAGAGCAGUUACCCUUCUAACCUUAACACCGGUUACGUCCUUCUUCUGUCAUCGGGGAUGGGAACCUUGGUAGGAAUGUUGGAGGGUUCUCGGCAGGUAGGUUUGAUGCUAGCCUUGUUGCCUUGGCAUUGGCUGAUUCAAGACAUCCUCGCAAAGGCGCCAUCUUUCUUAAGUGACUUUUAUAGACCUCUUUUUCUAAAAUACGAUAAUUUCGUUUUUGAGACCACUGCGAUAAAUGAGCUUUUGAGACUCCGUUUUGUUAACAACAGGUACUCUUUCUGCCUUACUUUAACAAGUAAGCAAGUAAACUACCUUCACGGUAAAGGAUCAUCUGUCCUAUGAAAACUCAUAGCCUCGAUAGUGGUCUAAGGCAAGAAAGUAUGAUCCGUCACGUGUGCCAAGGAGAUGUCGAUUGACAUUGAAUUCUCUCCUCUUGUUUUAAUAUGAAUUGACUCUGCUUCGGUCACUUUCUUCGUAGGUCCUUAAGCAACUCCUCUUGUCACUAGUCACUAUGCCCGAAGGUUAGCAAGCCUGUCUCUUGAUAUAAAUAGUCAUUCCUUUCUUUCCUUUGUUAGAGAAUCACCUAAGACCGCUAAUGUUCCAUCUAAUUCAAGAACAAGCCCUUCUCAAUGUCUUGCCUUUCGCAUGUGUUUUCUUUGAAAUUGGAAUUCCAACCAAGUUCCCUUCCCAAAGCGGGAACAAGUUGGUGCGACCGAUUAAAGAAGAAGGACAACUCGCAAUGGUACUAUGGCUAGUUGGAAAGCCUUUCAAGCCAAUCUCUUGAUUCACAUGAAUGUGAAACCGUUGCAACCGAUCCUGCAUACCAAUCAUCCGCCGCUUAAAGUAAUGGCCAAGGUUUCUAUGGAUUCAGUCCUGUGGAAAAAUAGUGUUGUGGGCAAUUCAGUGUGUAGUGUCACCCCUGGGACACUAGCGAGUCCGUCCCUAAAAAUUAGGUCCAUGAAGCCAGAGUGCUGUCGCACUAAACGACUACCCUUCCUUGGAUACUCCAAGCCACAAUCCGUAUUGUCCUUGAACCUAGACCAUGGAAGGUUGGUUAUAGUCCCAUUCUAUUAGUGGGAUCCAUAGCCCACGGGUCUUUCCCAAGCCAGCAAAGAAGAAGGUAGUCUAGGACUACCCUAAGCCUAGAAGAGAAGUAGGCAGGACUUUCAAUUACAAUGUCUAGGUUGGGCAAGCCGCCUUUCGCCUUUCUAAAGCCAAUCGAUUAUCGGAUUUCACCAAGCCAACUACCACUACCUGGGGAUUUCUAGAUCCGCUCUAAGAUAGCAUUAAAAUUCCAAACUCCAUGAAAGAAGGAGAUUGAUUAGCUAUAGUCAAAUCUCAUGACGGUGAUCAAAGAGCAUUAGCUACGAUACUACAACCUCUGCUCCUGACCCCCAGAUUGAAACGUUAUGAUUCACUCUGGUGCUGCUUGCUGGUGGAGGUUGGGAGUAUCUCAACAAUGAAUAAGAAGUCGAAGAAGCCCUAGAUCCACCUCUUACUUACCUCCCUUCCCAGACUAGCUAGUCAGGGCGAAGCAUUCAUCAACAUUAGUAGUUUUGGCACGAUAGACUCAUGAGAUGUGACCUCAUGAUGGGUCGGUGGGAAUGGCUUGUGAUCAUGCAUUCAAUCAAUUUCCCUUGGAAAUAUUGCAAACGAUGGUCAAGGUUUGCCGUAAAUAAACAGAUGAGUUCGAUUCAAGCAUCCGAACAAGAAUAUGGUUCAGAUACCCCAAACAAGAAGCCACUUAGGAUUUUUGCUUUUUUUUUCCCGGAGGGUGGGUCUCGUGACAACGCCUUCCUCUGCGGUCUCUAUUCGUAGGAAUAGAAUAGUCCAAGUAAUUGCGUCUAUCACUGAAGGCAGCCAAGAGUCACUCAGGGCUAUUGUACUUGUACUACUCAACUGUUAUAGUCCAUUAGAGUGUUUGAAAUCCAUAACUAAAGUCGCUUCCUCGUGAACUCCAUUAACUAGGCGCCCCUUUCCAAGUAGUCAGUCUGUUCUCUUGUGGAGAAAGCCUUACUCUUAUUUUGUUCGAACGUAGCCCGCAGGAGUCAAGGGGUUGUAGGGGUGACUUCCAGAGAUAAUUACGGCGAGGGGAGAUAAAGAGCAUUCUUCCUUCACGAAUACCAACUUCACCAAUCCCUAACCCGGCUAAAUGGUUUGACGCCUGCAUUUAAACUAACUCACCAUAUGUUAGUAUGCUAGUGUACGGCUGAGAAAGUAUAUAAAGUAUAUAGAGGGAAAAGGUUUUCAAAAAGCCAUUCUCGAUGACGACAUUGUUAUCGCCGACGAAAAGGUUGCAAACGUGUAUACGGCCCCCUGAUAGGACUGCGACCUAACUAUGACCUAACUAUAUCGGUCGAAAAGUAGCUAGUCUCUGACAAAGGUGCUCUUGAGUUCGCUAAGCCAUUUAUAUGCGAUGAAGGUGGAACGGAUUUAUCUCCAAUCUCCUUUCGCCCGUUCACUCAGUACUCAGUAGCAGCUCCCGUCUUCGCAAUUCGCGAGGGUUGAAAAUGGAUUUCAGACAAUAUGAACAAUAAUAACUCGACAUUCUCAAGUUCACCAAUUGAACAAGUCCAGCAUAUCGUCGCAAAGUAGUACACUCAAGUGGACUCCACCUAAUGGACGGAUACAGAGAUAGUAUCCAGAAAGAUCUUGGGAUUACAUUCGUCAAACCAAAUAUCUUUAGCAGUCGCAAAAGAGGUGACGGGGCUCAAAGGAAGUAAACAAGUCAUCCUUUGAAGCUAAGCACUUUUCAUCUUUUGUAGGAAAAUCCCCUUCUCUAGUCUUGGGAAAUUGAGCGACCCAUCCACAUAAGCACAAGAAUUUUUUUCCCGAGCAAAUCAUUCUUCAUCGCAUAAGCCCAUGACAAGUCAUUUCCAGAUGCUUCUUUCAGAAGAGCACGGGAAAAACCUAUGGAAUCCAUUGUACUAAGAACUAAGACCCGAAAGAUCAUCUAAGGACUGAAAAUCGGGACUCAAAACUAGUCAAGAAGGCUUAAGCUUAACUCAAGCAAUCACUCAAGAGAAGCCGGAUUCGUAAAAGAAAGAAGAAGAAGUUCCAGCCAAUUUCGAUUUUGAAUGAUAAGGAAGCGCUUGAUCCGGGUCUUAGAAGGGCAUCGAGAUCAAGGAGAUCGUGAGAUCAAAGUGGACGUUCCCGAUUUCCAUGGCCGAUUGCAUCCUUGCAUCCUGAGGACUUUCUUGAUUGGCUAAGUAGCGUAGAGAAGUUCUUUGAUUGGAAAGAACUACCCGAGGUGUGCGAAGAUGAAAUUCCUGAGCAAAAAUAAGGAACGCUUUCUCGACGCUGUAGAUCAUGCAUGACUGACUUGUCCAAAGGAGACGGGAAGUUCUUUUCCCCUUUUGUUAGGCUUUGCUGGGAUGAUGUCUCGUUCUUCGUCACGCUGCCCAUGACUGGAUAGGGGUAGCACCAUAGACCAUCUCUUUGGCUUAGAGUUGUUUCAUGAGCGAGGGGGCUAAGCGCAUACACGCUUCCUUCGAAACCUGACUCUAUCUUCGAUUACCAAAAAGAAAGCGAAGGAGAGCCACUUUUUUUUAUAGUAUAGAGUAGGACUGAAAUUCCAAGCGCUCCUAGCUCAGAAACCACACACAGACAAACACAUGGAGGCCCAUAAAACCCAUAAAUAAUAGACUAACAAAUAUACGUGACAUACACUUCCUGUGUGAAGUUUUUAUCUUAAUGAAUCAAAGCUGUUUGUAAAAUGCUACUUUUCUUUCUGCAACAAGUAAGAGUACUUUUUCUUAUCAUACACCCUUAUGAAUGAAUGAAUCAAAAAAAUGUGAUUCCACAAAUAGUCCCCCUUCUCUCUUUCUUCAAAGACAGAGGUACACAUCACAGGAAAAAACCCCAAAAACAGAAAGAGAAAGAAGUAAGUAAAAAAAUAGGAAAUACUGCUAGAUGGCAACCUAACCGAGUACGUCAUAAUUGAGAAAGGUAAGCCCCACUCCACUGAAUUGGAGAAUUCCAGAACACGUAUCAGAGAGUGCUCCAAUGGCAGUGGGGGCACAAUUGAGAGAAUUUCGACGAUUAGAAAAGAAAAAGAAGAAAGUUAGUGUUCAAUGAGCUCGAGAUAGCUGCCUGAUGAGAGGAAAGGACGCCGGGUACAGUCUUUCUUUGGUUCCAGCUCCCCGAUUACACCAAAGCACACCAGUCAACACUGUACUAUAGCUUUUACACCUGUGAGUUGGCAAAAUAAUAUCGUAUGUUAAUAAAAGACCUGAGUUGGCGAAAUCAAAAGAAAAGCUAACGCUAACUAAGUGUUUAGUUACCAUGCCCAAAAGCCCCGUGCCUUUCUUGGUUGGAUAAACAAAACCAACCGGUGAUUUCUGACAAGUCUCUCUUUUUUUUGGUAUACUGCUCUGCGAGCAGAGUGAAUGAAUAGAAAUCUUUCCGAAUAUCAUGAAUAUCCAUCGCCCCUUGUCUCCAUCUUUCAUUCGUUCUAUGAUUCUCCUUUCUACCCUUCUUUUUACUACCUGUCUCUUGUCUCAUUUGAUUGGCUUUGAUCCCUACCUUAUUAUGGAGAGGGUCAAAGGUCCUUUUUUCCUCCAAGCCUUACAUUCUCUUUUUAGGCUCUUUGGUUUUGAAGUGCCUAUCUGCCUUCUUCUUUCGCUCCUUGCUUUGGUUGGCGGUUGCAGCAGCUUGCACAUGGAUGAUAAUUCCACUGGAGGAAGGGGAUUCAGUUUGACUGAUUUAUUUUCUGAUUUAUUUGGAAGCAGUUCCCCUACAAAUUCCAAAGUCGGUCUCAACCAACCAGCCCCGGACUCUCCCAACCCUGGUGACCCCGCAGAGCCUCCUAUUGCUGAGCCUUAUCAUCUGUUACAGGAGGAUGGAGAGAGGCUAAGGGAGCUCAAUGAGCGCUUUUCCUUCUAUACUUUCGGGUGUCCCCUGCCCGAGCAUAUUUCCUCCGAUAUUCUCGAGGCUCAAUUCCAAACGGAACUAAAGAUAAAGGAAGCCCUUCGUUCAGACAGAGUGCAAGACGCGUCUCUUUUUGAGAAAAGGCACCAGAUUAGGGGGGAACUCUUCUAUCCGUUUGGGAAGCCAUUAUCCUUGGACACUUACUUAGACCACCUAUCUCAAAUAGAAAACUAUGGGACCCACCGCAGCCUGCCUUAUAAAAGGGUUUUGAAAGCGAUUGCUCAGCAGGACUUAGCGUUGGUCUUUGACUCAAUCAAAAGAAAGAGAUACUGGUAGAGCUCUUCUUUGUCAUCUUUGUCAGUGGCAUUCUCCCUUCUAUCUAUCUGAAUUAUGGAACUUUCUCACCGAGCUGCAGAACUAACAAGUUUAUUAAAAAGUUGAAUUAGUAACUUUUACACAAAUUUUCAAGUGGAUGAAAUCGGUCGAGUGGUCUCAGUUGGAGAUGGGAUUGCACGUGUUUAUGGAUUGAACGAGAUUCAAGCUGGGGAAAAGGAAUAGCCUUGAAUCUUAAGAAUGAGAAUGUAGGGAUUGUUGUCUUUGGUAGUGAUACUGCUAUUAAAGAAGGAGAUCUUGUCAAGCGCACUGGAUCUAUUAUGGAUGUUCCUGCGGGAAAGGCUAUGCUAGGGCAUGUGGUCGAUGGCUUGGGAGUACCUAUUAAUGGAAGGGGGGCUCUAAGCGAUCACGAGUGAAGACGUGUGAAAGUGAAAGCCCCUGGGAUUAUUGAACGUAAAUCAGUGCAUGAGCCUAUGCAAACAGGUUUAAAAGCGGUAGAUAGCCUGGUUCCUAUAGGUCGUGGUCAACGAGAACUUAUAAUUGGGGACCGACAAACUGGAAAAACAGCUAUUGCUAUCGAUACCAUAUUAAACCAAAAGCAACUGAACUCAAGGGCCACCUCUGAGAGUGAGACAUUGUAUUAUGUCUAUGUAGCGAUUGGACAGAAACGCUCAACUGUGGCACAAUUAGUUCAAAUUCUUUCAGAAGCGAAUGCUUUGGAAUAUUCUAUUCUUGUAGCAGCCACCGCUUCGGAUCCUGCUCCUCUACAAUUUUUGGCCCCAUAUUCUGGGUGUGCCAUGGGGAAAUAUUUCCAUGAUAAUGGAAUGCACGCAUUAAUAAUCUAUGAUGAUCUUAGUAAACAGGCGGUAGCAUAUCGACAAAUGUCAUUAUUGUUACGCCGACCACCAGGUCGUGAGGCUUUCCCAGGGGAUGUUUUCUAUUGUCAUUCCCUUCUCUUAGAAAGAGCGGCUAAACGAUCGGACCAGACAGGCGCAGGUAGCUUAACCGCCUUACCCGUCAUUGAAACAUAAGCUGGAGACGUAUCGGCCUAUAUUCCCACCAAUGUGAUCCCCAUUACUGAUGGACAAAUCUAUUUGGAAACAGAGCUCUUUUAUCGCAGAAUUAGACCUGCUAUUAACGUCGGCUUAUCUGUCAGUCAUGUAGGGUCUGCCGCUCAGUUGAAAACUAUGAAACAAGUCUGCGGUAGUUCAAAAUUGAAAUUGGCACAAUAUCGUGAGUGGCCGCCCUUGCUCAAUUUGGCUUAGACCUUGAUGCUGCGACUCAGGCAUUACUCAAUAGAGGUGCAAGGCUGACAGAAGUACCGAAACAACCACAAUAUGUACCACUGCCAAUUUAAAAACAAAUUCUAGUCAUUUAUGCAGCUGUCAAUGGAUUCUGUGAUCGAAUGCCACUAGACAGAAUUUCUCAAUAUGAGAGAGCCAUUCCAAAUAGUGUCAAACUAGAAUUACUACAAUCCUUUUUAGAAAAAGGUGGCUUAACUAACGAAAGAAAGAUGGAACCAGAUACAUUCUUAAAAGAAAGUGCUUUAGCUUUUAUUUAAAUUGUAUACAAUACAAGGAAGGCAUCAUUUUGGAGUAACAACUCCAAAAGGGAGAGGGGUUUCCCCCUGUCCCGUAGGAGGCUGAGCACAAAUCAAUUUAUCGUUUUAGGUUUUGUUUUCCUAUUGGUGUCACAUGGAGCAUUGGUAAGGGUGAUGUGAUGGUGGGUUUUCUUGAAAGUAAGAAGUGAAAAUGACAUUUUCUUAUCUUUCUUAAAAGUUCAUCACACUAAUAUUUCACCACAAUCUCCGGUUCUUCUUAGUAAGGGUCCAUCCCAGGCUUAUUACUCUGAAGGACUCCUGGUUGGAACCCAGGCGCCCCCCCGAGACCGACUAGUUUGGUCCAAUAGGAAAAGUGAGGUUUCGUACCUCUUGGCGUGGUCUAUUUUAAAUCAGACCUAAAUGUGUUCCUAACCAAAGAGAUGUGGAGGAGUAUAUUUAGUUUUCUCCGCUCUUAAUAGGGUUCACGGCGUGUGAACCUAUACUUUGUAAAAUUCAUCGAUACUGCAUUCUGAUCAAAUGUGGUACUGUGAUGAUAAUCUUUAUGGGAGGAAGGAGACGUCCUUCCGUUAUGACCAUAUUGUCAUCAUGGAACUUUCGUUCUGAUGGAUUUUCUCUGUAUGGGUGAGCGUUUCUAAGUUUCAUCUUUUAAACGACAUUGCCUUGUCUCCUAAGAUGGAUAAGUCCUUCUUGUGAUGCACCGUUAGGGUGCAUACUUAUGUGAAGGGUUUGGAACACCUCAAACCUGGAUGGAUGCAAGCAUCACCCUUUGGUAAGGUGGUGUUUUCAUUUGUGCGUUACUUGAAGGUCUGUCGGAAAUUCUCAUUCUCUAGCACUUUGUUUGCAUUAAAAGGGGUGAGUUUUAUUUGAAGUUAAGAAAGAAAAGGAAUAUUAAAUUCUGGUCACAAUACUAUUACCGUGACACCUUCUUUUCUUCUUUUAGAAUUCACCUCCUUUUAGUGCAAUCCUAGUGUUCGGGGUGAGGGUUAAAGACUAGAUCCACGGAGCACUGUGCUCCUAGGGAAUUCUAGAAAUUAAUUACUUCUAGAACGGAACACAUAAGACUAUGUAUACAAUACAAGGAAAGGAAAAAGGUCUCUUAGGGGUACCACAAAGAAAAGAAUCAAAAUAGCUAAAAAGAGUCUGCUUCCUUUAUCAUAUAUAUGAGAUAGUAGAUCACCUUUUUUUUUUGAAGCAAAAAAAAAGGUGAUCUACUGUUGUAGUCUUCUUGACAUAUCAAGUCAAGAGGGCGAGGCUCCUAGCAAUGGGGGGAAAGGGGAGUGGGUAAGCGGGCUCCUUUCACUUGACUGGUUAGUUAGGAGUGAUCUUUUUUCUCAGAUGUUCGAGAUCUUUGUCUCGUAGAGGGUGAAAUGAGAUCUUCUUGGAACAAGGUCAGAGGCGUUGGACGGACCAGUUUCUUCUGAUUCCAAUGAUAGAUGGAUGGUCAGGUCGGUAACAUAUGGAUGGAGGACUUCUACAGGGUCUUCUCGUGCGCUCGACUAGCAAGGUGGUUUUGUAGGC